GACGAACGCUGGCGGCGUGCCUAAUACAUGCAAGUUGAGCGAUGAAGAUUGGUGCUUGCACCAAUUUGAAGAGCAGCGAACGGGUGAGUAACGCGUGGGGAAUCUGCCUUUGAGCGGGGGACAACAUUUGGAAACGAAUGCUAAUACCGCAUAACAACUUUAAACAUAAGUUUUAAGUUUGAAAGAUGCAAUUGCAUCACUCAAAGAUGAUCCCGCGUUGUAUUAGCUAGUUGGUGAGGUAAAGGCUCACCAAGGCGAUGAUACAUAGCCGACCUGAGAGGGUGAUCGGCCACAUUGGGACUGAGACACGGCCCAAACUCCUACGGGAGGCAGCAGUAGGGAAUCUUAGGCAAUGGACGAAAGUCUGACCGAGCAACGCCGCGUGAGUGAAGAAGGGUUUCGGAUCGUAAAACUCUGUUGGUAGAGAAGAACGUUGGUGAGAGUGGAAAGCUCAUCAAGUGACGGUAACUACCCAGAAAGGGACGGCUAACUACGUG
rnacentral:rRNA from 1 species